rnacentral:rRNA from 1 species
GACGAACGCUGGCGGCGUGCUUAACACAUGCAAGUCGAACGGAAAGGCCCUGCUUUUGUGGGGUGCUCGAGUGGCGAACGGGUGAGUAGCACGUGAGUAACCUGCCCUUGACUUUGGGAUAACUUCAGGAAACUGGGGCUAAUACCGGAUAGGAGCUCCUGCUGCAUGGUGGGGGUUGGAAAGUUUCGGCGGUUGGGGAUGGACUCGCGGCUUAUCAGCUUGUUGGUGGGGUAGUGGCUUACCAAGGCUUUGACGGGUAGCCGGCCUGAGAGGGUGACCGGCCACAUUGGGACUGAGAUACGGCCCAGACUCCUACGGGAGGCAGCAGUGGGGAAUAUUGCACAAUGGGCGGAAGCCUGAUGCAGCAACGCCGCGUGCGGGAUGACGGCCUUCGGGUUGUAAACCGCUUUCGCCUGUGACGAAGCGUGAGUGACGGUAAUGGGUAAAGAAGCACCGGCAAACUACGU